CAGCAGCAAGCUCUGCAAGUCUAUCGCUAAGAUGACCUCCACAUCCAAAUUUUCCAUUCUUUCUUCCUGGCAUAUUAAUAGCCCAGGAGUCUGGCUGUAUGGAGCUCUUGCAGAUGCCUUUAUUGGCAGCUUCAACCCGUUGCUUCUGAGUUGCCAUGGCAACUGGAAGCCAAACCCGGGAAGGAGGGGCGACGGGGACUGUUUAUUGGAACUGGAGGAGUCGGCGCGAUCCUCUGAAAGCCAGGAAAUAGCGGGAGCCGCCUGUACCUGGAUAAAACCCACCCGGGAGGAGGCUCCAGGGGACCACAGCUGACUCCUCCAGGCACAGAGGAUUGAGUCAUCCUGCAGGCGUCAGAGCGGGUAGGAACAGCUCCGCUGAUCUGUAUGCAGCUCCGACUCCCUCUCCAGUUCAGAGUUUGGGAGCCGUCUUGUUCGAAAGUAAAGAACAGAACACAGAUGGCUGGUAACAGGAUCCCACAGGGGCCUCCUUUCCCACUGAGUUCAUCCUGCUAAUCCUUUUACAGAAGAGAAAAUAAGUGGUAAAUGGAAAAAGGGAAAAAAGACUAUAGCUUCUACAGAGUCUACAAGCUCUGUUUUGUGGGUCCCGGUAGGAGGUCUCUGAGGGAGAUUCUCGCUGUAUGUUAAAUUUCCUAGCCCGAUCCCUUUCCUGGUCCCUUCUCCUUGACCACUUCUUCCCCUUCAUUCCCCCUAUUUUCCAUGCCAGUUCUUUGUGGUUUUGUAUCUGAUGGCGCAUCUUGUCAUAGAUGCCUGAAUGCCUUCUGUAUUAACCAGGCACGUUUUUAUUCAUUUACUUCUUUUUAUUAUCAUAAAAAGUUUUUUAUAUAGCUAGUCGGUGGUUGUGCUCGCUUUUAAUCCCAGCACCUGGUAGGCGGAGGCAGACGAAUCUCUGUGAGUUCGAGGCCAGACUGGUCUAGAGAGUGAGAUUUCAGGACAGGCUCCAAAGUUACAUAGAGAAACCUGUUUUGGGAGGUGGAGAGGGGGGGGUCAUAUGUGUGUACCAGGCUAUUCAAAAAUAUUCUGGAAACUAAAUCCAAGGCUUUAUAGUACUAGCAUAUGAUCCUCCCAUCUCAGCCUCACAGGUAGCUGGGACUACAGGUAUGAGCUUCCACAAAUGGUUGCAUUGCCAGUUACUAGCUGCUUGAAUUUAGACAAUUUGCCCAACUUCCCUGAGUUGUAGGUAUGGAUUCUGAUCACCUGUGUAGAUGCUUUAUCAAUUGGCUUACAGAGUAAAUUAGAUAGUAGUAAGGCUUGGAAUCUGGAACACAGUAAGUAACUAGUAUUUUCUUUGCUCC
rnacentral:lncRNA from 1 species